AAAAAGAAAAACUCUGGUUUCCGUGUUCAACGUUUGACCGUCCGUCUUAUUUAAAAAAUUAUGAAAAAAAUUAAAAAGACAAAUCACGCAUAAAAUAUUAAUCAUGUUUUAUUAUCUAACAACAAUGAAAAUAUAAAUUAUAAAAAAAUUUUAUAUAAGACGGACAGUUAAAGUUGGACACGAAAAUCUAGAGUUUGCUUUUUU
rnacentral:pre_miRNA from 1 species